AGCUUUUCGAAUUCGUGCUGAGAUUUCGUCCGAUACCAACCCAUUUGCGGUGAUCAGACUCUCAAGAUAAGUGAAGUU
rnacentral:pre_miRNA from 1 species